AUUGAACGCUGGCGGAAUGCUUUACACAUGCAAGUCGAACGGCAGCACGGGGCAACCUGGUGGCGAGUGGCGAACGGGUGAGUAAUACAUCGGAACGUGCCCAAUCGUGGGGGAUAACGUAGCGAAAGUUACGCUAAUACCGCAUACGAUCUACGGAUGAAAGCGGGGGAUCGCAAGACCUCGCGCGAAUGGAGCGGCCGAUGUCAGAUUAGGUAGUUGGUGGGGUAAAGGCUCACCAAGCCGACGAUCUGUAGCUGGUCUGAGAGGACGACCAGCCACACUGGGACUGAGACACGGCCCAGACUCCUACGGGAGGCAGCAGUGGGGAAUUUUGGGACAAUGGGCGCAAGCCUGAUCCAGCCAUUCCGCGUGCAGGAUGAAGGCCUUCGGUUGUAACUAGCUUUGUACGGAACGAAACGGUUACGUCUCU
rnacentral:rRNA from 1 species